rnacentral:rRNA from 1 species
AUUGAACGCUGGCGGCAUGCCUUACACAUGCAAGUCGAACGGCAGCGCGGGGCAACCUGGCGGCGAGUGGCGAACGGGUGAGUAAUAUAUCGGAACGUACCCUGGAGUGGGGGAUAACGUAGCGAAAGUUACGCUAAUACCGCAUACGAUCUAAGGAUGAAAGUGGGGGAUCGCAAGACCUCAUGCUCCUGGAGCGGCCGAUAUCUGAUUAGCUAGUUGGUGGGGUAAAGGCCUACCAAGGCAUCGAUCAGUAGCUGGUCUGAGAGGACGACCAGCCACACUGGGACUGAGACACGGCCCAGACUCCUACGGGAGGCAGCAGUGGGGAAUUUUGGGACAAUGGGGGCAACCCUGAUCCAGCAAUGCCGCGUGAGUGAAGAAGGCCUUCGGGUUGUAAAGCUCUUUGUUCAGGGAAGAAACGGUACUUGGUUAAUACCUGGGCUAAUGACGGUACCUGAAGAAUAAG